AGAUUGAACGCUAGCGGGAUGCUUUACACAUGCAAGUCGAACGGCAGCGCGGACUUCGGUCUGGCGGCGAGUGGCGAACGGGUGAGUAAUAUAUCGGAACGUGCCCAGUAGCGGGGGGAUAACUACGCGAAAGCGUGGCUAAUACCGCAUACGCCCUACGGGGGAAAGGGGGGGAUCGCAAGACCUCUCACUAUUGGAGCGGCCGAUAUCAGAUUAGCUAGUUGGUGAGGUAAAGGCUCACCAAGGCGACGAUCUGUAGCUGGUUUGAGAGGACGACCAGCCACACUGGGACUGAGACACGGCCCAGACUCCUACGGGAGGCAGCAGUGGGAAUUUUGGACAAGUGGGGGAAACCCUGAUCCAGCCAUCCCGCGUGUGCGACUGAAGGCCGUUCGGGUUGUAAACGCGUACUUUUGGUCGAAGGGAAGAAACGGACGUCCGUUUAACGUACGGG
rnacentral:rRNA from 1 species